CUCCCUGCUGUCACUGCCCUCCCAGAUAGUGAAAUUCAAUGAAGGCACAUUUUUAGAAAAAAAAAUAGAGGUGGGAAGUGAAGUGGGAGUGGGGUGGUGACACUGUCUUUGGAGCAGUUGAGCAGCACGAGGAAGAUCUUAAAAGGUAUCUGGAAGGACGGGUGAGAGGAAAGGUGUGGCCAAUGGAGACAGAGCCAGGAUCCUGCACAGGGAGGCACAAGGGAUGAGGAGCCCUGGGAAGGCAGGAGAGGGCCAGUUCCUUCAGGGGGACAACCCCUUUGACCAGGGUUGUGCCAGGAACUGCUAUAUCACUCUCUGUGCACUGCUGGGACCCAGGUACAUGUCUGCAGCUAUCUGGAUGCAGAGGGAGGAAGGCACAGAGUGGGACUCUGUGCACGUGGACCCUGUGGACACACUGUUCUCGCCAUGAUACUCCCCUCAACACCAUCCCACAGAGCUCCCCAGGCCCAGGUCUCCAACUGUGGGUUUGUACACACCUGGGCAGGGCCCUCCAGGGAGUGGCGAGGCUGCAGCUUUCCAGGAAGUGAGGAGUAACAGCCAGCGAUACCAGGAUGUGCAUGGGAACUUCAUCCCCUGAGCUCAACAUGGAGACCUCUCAGGCCUGAGCCCUCACUCACUUCCCUUUUGGGAGUGCCAAGACCCCCAUGCCUGUGAAAUCUUCAUAAAUGAAAGAAGAUAUUUGAGUGGAGACUCUUAGGUGAUUUCAUUAGUGAAUAUUUUGUGUUAUGGUUUGUGUAUGUUUAACGUGGUACUAGGGAUUCAACCCAGGGCCUUGUCUCGUGUGCUGAGCAAGAACUUUAUCACUGACUAUACUGCCAGUCCUUGUAUGGUGUUUUGUUAAUAACUCUAUGGAUUCAGAUGAUGACAAGUAAGAACGCAAAAAACUCCUUGUAUUUGAAAACUACAAAAACAAAACAAAACAAAAAAACUGGUGCUAAAAUCAAUACACUAAUGAAACAAAAUGUCCACACACAGACUCUAGAGAUCAAUAUGAAGAAUGUUUACUGGGAAUGAUUUGGGGACAAAGACCCCUGGAAGAAAGGGAAGGGGAAGGGAAGAUGCAAGACUGAGCAAAGGGGAGUCACCUGAGGUAGGGGCCCAACAAAAGCUCAGCAAACCCAAAGGUCACAUGGCCCUUCAAAAUUGUCCUGCUUUGAGGCAAAGUGGCUGGGCCUGUAUGCCUGUAGUGACCACUCCUUGGAUACAAUCUGACCCUGGAAGGAGGGGAGGCAGGACCCAGAUUUGGGGCUAUCUCCCACCCACACUCCAGCAGCUGGGUGGGUAAGUUCUUCAUUCCUGGAGGGGAAUCUGGGAGGCACCUCACAGGGUCCGCUCUGCAGAUCUUAGUGUAUAUGAAGAACUUGGUGUCUGUUUAAGUGUUGGUCAUGAAUCCGGGAAAUGAAAUCUACUUGAUAAGUGAUGCUGGAACCAUUGAUUGUAACCAUGGGGAACACACAUGGAUUAGAGUGUUAUCUUAUCCAACAUUAAUUUCAGAUAAAGAAUUGAAAGAAAAAGGAAACAAUAUACCUACUACUUAUCAGCUUGAAGGAGAGGGAAACAAAGGUAAACUUAGAGGCUGCCAAUAAAAUGCUUACUAGAUUUUAUUACCUAAAACAAAUAUUUUACAUUCAAAUUUUCACAAAAAUUGCAAGGCAAACAACAAAACUGAGAACAUGUUUGCAAUAAACACACCGAAAACAUUAAUGUCUAUUAAUUUAUAUUUUUCAGUUUUGUCAAAUCUGUUGAACUAUCUCUGCUACAAUAAAUAUAUUUUUUUAUUUCUAGCAUUUCUUUUCAGAUGCUCUUCAAUAGAUGAAUGGAUAAAGACAAUGUGGUACAUAUACACAAUGGAAUAUUACUUAGCUUUAAAGAAUAAUGAAAUUAUGGCAUUUGCAGGUAAAUGGAUGGAGCUGGAGAAUAUCAUGGUGAGCAAAAUAAUCCAAACUCCCAAAAACAAAGACUGAAUGUUUUCUCUGAUAAGUGGAUGCUGAUCCAUAAUGGUGGGGGGAGUGAAGAAUGAAGGAACUUUGGAUUGUGCAGAGGGGAAUGGAAAGAGGGGAGGAGCUAUGGAGACGGAAAGGAUGGUGGAAUGAGAUAGAAUUAUUAACCUAUAUACACGUAUGAUUACACUACUGGUGUGACUGUACCAUGUGCAGCCAGAGGAAUGAGAAGUUGUGCUCCAUUGGUGUACAAUGUGUCAAAAUGCAUUCUACUGUCAUGUAUAAUUAAUUAUAACAAAUUUAAAAAAACAACUGGAAAUAAAAAUAAAAAUCAUUUUUCUUGGUUCAUAGCUGUUACACAAACUGAAUAUGGUUUUUUAAAAAUGUUUUUUAGUUGUUGAUGGACCUUUAUUUUAUUUAUCUGUGUGUGGUGCUGAGAAUCAAAUCCAGUGCCUCACGCGUGCUAGGCAAGUGCACUACCACUGAGCCACAACCCCAGCCCCCUGAAUAUGUUUUUGCUCUGUUAAUUUCAUCUUAUAUUUUCCUUGUGAACUUUAUAACUGUUGCCUAUUAGUGUUUUGCAGAGGUACUGCUUCUAAUAAAACAACCUGAGUUAAUUUGAGAUAAUAAGCCAUCAUCUAUAGGACAGAUAGGAUGUAAUGCUGACUUACAGUACUAAUACUGACCCCAAUUAAAUGAAAGGAACAACUGUAAAAUUAUAGCUAUUGAAGUUAUAACCUGUUACUCCCACUUUAAGACUGGUGAUACUGGCCUUCUGGAUGUUUAGAACCAAAAACUUGGAGACCAAAGUCAAGGAAGUAAAAGGGCCAGGAAAAAGGAGCCAACAUUUUGGCUUUUGCCCUCUAAGGUCAGCCAGGAUGUAGAGAAUGACAGGACCCCUCUUUGGUCCCUGCAAGUCCAUUGAACCACCUAAUCUGCUGAUUAGGGAGAUUGAGAGGACCCUAGAGAACAGGAAGCCAACCAGGGUAUAUUCUGCAAAGAGGAGGGUCAUUGGAGAAGGAAAUGUACUUAAUGCUUCCAAGAGAAGGAAUGUAUGGUUAGCAAGACACUUACCCAUCCUGGCAGGUAGCACCAUGGGUAAGGGAAAGCUAAAGGAGACAAAAGUCUUCACAAAAGUCCCCAAGCUUUUGUUGAGGAAUCUCAGCUGACUGAGCUUAGGCUAUACUCUCCUGCCAGGUGUUUAGAGAGUAUAGCCUAAGCUAAGUUCUACAUGGAUAUUUAAAAGGAAAAACAAUGGAUUUUUAAAUGUAACUUAAGACAUACACUUGUGUCAGCCCUACCAAAAGUAAGUAAGCUGGAGGCUACAGAUGAAGGGUCCUUGUGUUGUUGUAGGGACAAACAGGCAAGGCACCGAAGAUAGCAGGAAACAGUUUUAUUUAGCUUCAGCCAGGUUCAGAGGGCACAGCUUUUGCUGUAAUCAAUCAAUCCCCUGAACCUUGAGUUCAGGUAGUUUCAGAAUUUUAUACCCAGCAUGUAAGGGGAGGGGCUCAGAAGUUCCCAGUAUGCAGAAGUUCACAUAAAAGCAGCUUUUUCUUUCACUGUUCUGGGCAAGUUAACCCUUCAAAGACAACACCUGAGAAGGGGAGAGCUUCUUCUCCCCUCUCUUUCCUCCCCCUGCCAGCUGUUACUAUGGAAUCCAAUUGGUAACUUCUCUUAUCAUAGAAAUGCAGACAUCUCAUUGAAGCUCCAGCUCAAGGCCAGAGGCCUUGUUCACACAUUUCUACAAAGUACUAUACUGGAUACAUUUGUGAAAAACUAGUAAGAGGGUGUCCAGUUCCUGGAGUACUGAUUUCUUCUCAGCCAGUGGUCAAGUAAAACAGGGCAACAUGAAAAUUGGAAGUUUAUCUGCAUUGAACUCUUUUGUAGAGACUCUUUUGCUGACAGUCCUAAAAUUAGCCAUGGUGAAGAUUUCUGGAGAAGCCCAGUUAAGACUUUUCUGUGGAGAAAGGGGGUGCCACUACAGUGUGAGAGUGCCUAAUAAUAAUGAUCACAAAGGACUCUAAAGUCAUAAGUUUGUCCUGAGUUAAUUUGAGCCUGAUCCUACAGACCUACAAAUCUUCCUAAUCUCAUACAUUGAUAAAAUUGAUCUGUUUUCCACUGAUAUGAUUAUGAGUUACUGUCCUCAUGAUUUUCAGAGAUUGGCUGAAAUACUGAUUGCUUUUGUGCUAAUUGUUUAUAUAUAAAAAAAAAAAAGUAAUGUCUUGUUAUCUUGUUUAUUGUUGUCUUAGCAUGAUCCCUACCCCAUGUAUGUCUUGUCCAAUCAUCUGCCAUCUGCCACUGUGGACUUCUGAAAUGCUCUGAUGCUGAAUACCCUUACCUGUCCACGUCCUACCUGAUGGAAAACAAGGACUUUGGUUACUGCCCCUAAUUUUGUCCUCUUUCAGCAGAAAGCAGCUUGGAGAUGUCAUCACCCAUUUUUUCCAUAGAAAUGGAAUAUAGAAAUUGGCAGUGGGGAAAUGUAACAGUGGUUCACUUUAUGAUUUGAAUAUAGCCCUUGCUUCUCUGCCACUGUAACUUAUUUUUUAAAUGUACAUGUUUCUUUCUCUUCCUCUCUCCCUGCUCUUCCCUAAUCUUUUAUUAUUAUAAUCUUUUAUUACGGAUU